rnacentral:tRNA from 1 species
CAAGUUAGAGCUUGUUAAAGAGUAUUUUAGUUACAUUAAAAGGGAAGUUGUGCUAUUCAAUUUGACUUGA